UUUUUUUUUUGUUUGUUUGUUUUUUUUAGGGCCACACCUGGGGUAUAUGGAAGUUCCAAGGCUAGGGGGUUCAAAUCCGACCCACAGCUGCCAGCCUAUUCCACAGGCACUACAAUGCAGAAUCUGAGCCAUGUCUGUAACCUGCUCCACAGCAAUGCCGGAACCUUAACCAACUGAGUGAGGCCAGGGAUUGAACCUUCAUCCUCAUGGAUACUAGUCAGGUUCAUUACCACUGAGCCACAAUGAGAAUUCCUGUGGUAGACUACUGUGAUCUUGUAUUUUAGUUUCAUCUUUUUCUUAAUUCCACAGAGGAGUAUUAUGAUAUAGGAAAACUAUUUUAGAUUUGCCUGUAUGUUCACCAGUUUCUUUGUUUACCAUUGCUUCUUGUAUUUCACCCUCUUUUUGAGAUCAUUUUCCUUCUCUCUGAAGUUAGGUCUUAUGGGCUCUUUCAGUAGACAUGUGUUUGUGGUGGUUAAAAAAAAAAAUCAAUGUUCAUGUGAAAGUUCAUUUGUUUCUUUUUCAGUCUGGAACAAUUGCUUGGCUGGAUAAAAAUCCUAUUUGAUUUCAAUAUGCAUAAAUGAGGGUCUAUUUGGAGGUAUUCUCUUAUAGAGGAUUUUUUUCUUGCUUUACCUGGGAUGAUGAAGUUCUGUCACCCCCAAGCCACUCUGGUCUCUUUUGAGAGACCUGGUUAUUGUGAGGACUAUGGUCAGUUCCUGCCAAAGACGUGAAUGUUAAUGUAAGUGACCCCUUCCACUUUAGGGAGAGAAUUACUGUGGUUUUCCCAAAGAGUAUUUUAUUUGAUCUGGUUUUUGAGAUAAAUUUAGAAAUAUUCAUUGGUAUCCUGUGAAAGAUUUUCCAAAUGGUAAACCAUUGCAAAAUGAUAACCUUAACUUACUAAAAAUAACUGAUAAUUUUGAUAAUGUUUUUGCAGAUGAUCAAAAUAUCUUCUUUCUUGCCUCCCUGGUGCAUAUGUUUAAGAUGGUGGCUUUGCUAAAUGUAGAAUGAGCUAUUUCCAAAUUUUGUGCUUAAAGUGUAAUGGACUAAUGAAUCAAAAUGUAAAACAAAUGUUACCCUCCUAAUUGUUGCUUGGUAAUAUCAUGAAUGAUUAAGCUAAUGUAACAAUGCAAAACUGAUUUCCAGUGUGGGAAGCAAGGGUGAAAUUGAUAUCUAGUAGGGCAACUAUAGGUUUGUUAUUUAUUAGUGAAAUGUAUCCUUUUCCCACUCAAAGUUGAAUUUUCAAAUCACAAGUUCAUAAUCAUUAUUUUGCUCAGAUUUUAAUUAUUCCCUCCAGUUUUUUAAAAUGUAAAUAAACUCUUUUAGAUGUUACAUAAUGUGCCUCUCAGUAUAUUUUGUUUGUCUAAAAUGCAAUCAGUGUAUAUUUAGAUACACAUCAUCAUAACACUGAUUUCAUGGGUGGAUCAGCUGGGCCUGAUCUUUUGUGCAGAGCUCCAGGCUCUGCAAUUGGUAUUGGCCUUCCUGGAGAUAUUCUUUAUUUUCUUUUUCAGUAUUGAUGGAACACCUCCAGUAAACAAUUCUUGCUUAGAUGACAAGAAUUUCUACCAAUUCAGCAAGCCAAACUUGAUGUUAGUGGUUCUUUUGGCAAGAUUUCCACUGACCCCAGUGAUGUUACAAAGAGAAAUUUACAUUUGUCUAAAAUGGUAUCAUAACAUGGGUAAAACUCUGAAUAUUUAAUGUAAAAUUAAUAUUUCUAAGUAUGUUUAAAAUAUGACUCAGAAAGUAAGCUUCUACAUAAUGCGUAUUAAUUGUCGUGUCUAUAUAUGUACAUAUCUAUGUCAAUAUCUUUUUUUCCUUCUUGCUAUUUAUGAUGGCUGUCUUGGUCUGAAAUAUAAAAUAUAUAAACAUCAUAAAAGACCUAGCAUCAUCUUACAUCUUAGAAAGAAAGGGAAAUCACUUUUCUCUCUCACAGAGAAAUCAAAAUGAUUCAGUUCUACAGCAUUUUCAAAAACAAUGUUAAAGUAUAUUGCACAUAAACAUUCAAGAAAACUUAACACAAUCUCUUUAAAAUGUUAAAAUACUAGUAACCUCCUUGAUAUACAGUAAGGGAGCUAAAUUUUAGGUAUCAAGCUGAAAUUAUUUGGAAAAUGCUGAAAUAACUUUGUUUUGAGAGAUUUAUAUUUAUAAGUUCACCAACAGAGAAUUCCUUCAAUUUUCAAUCACUCAGUGCUUUGUAAAUAAAAAAUCACCAUAAAGUAAAUUUCUUCUAAAAUAUGGGAAAAAAAAAAAAAAAGAACAAUAAAAAAAAAUAAAUAAAAAUAAAGCAGAAUUAUUUUUUUCUCUUUUUAGGGCUGCACCUGCGGCGUGAAUCAGAGCUAUAGCUGCCAGCCUACACUGCAGCCACAGUAGUGCCAACUCCGAUUAGUAUCUGCAACCUAUGCUGCAGCUUGUGGCAACGCCAGAUCCUUAACCUACUGCGCGAGGCCAUGGAUCAAAUCCUUAUCCUCAUGAAUACCAGUUGGAUUCUGAGCCACAGAGGGAACUCCUGAAGCAGAAUUCUUGAAUACAAGUGGAAGUACACACAGGGUCUGUCCUUAGAAACAGUAGAAGGCAUGGUUCUAUCACAUGUGAGUCAGGAAACCUGAUUUCCUCAUGCUCUGUAUUAUUCAUCAAGGUAGGCAAUAAAAGCCUUUUGGGAUAGUAUGCAUUUCUAGUGGAGAAAAUAUAUGCUGUUAAAUUUUGUCUUUUUAGGAAAGGAAACAUUGAGGUUAGUUCAAAUGAUAUGUUGUCAUCCUUGGAGCUCCAGUAGUGAGGUGGGCAAGGCAAUGUGUAUUUUUCCAGAGUACAGAAAAUUUUUUCAAUUCUGAAGUAUGUUUUUAAAUAAAUACCAGAUGAGUGUGAUAUA
ensembl:lncRNA